GCCCGUAGCUCAAUGGAUUGAGCAACCGGUUUCUACCCGGUCGAUUGGGGGUUCGAGUCCCUCCGGGCGCA
rnacentral:tRNA from 1 species